GUGGGGCGGGCGGAGUUGCGGACAGGUGAGGAAGCCAGAGGAGAAGAGAGGGUUGAUUUGACCUCAAUAUAGAGAGCCUUAACGUGUGUGGGCCCACAAGAUCCUUGCUGAAAAAGAGAAGACAUCACUGUAAGGUCAGUGAAUUCAGGGGGAGCCAGGAUGAUAUUGUAAGUAGUUAAUAAUUGCCCUGACCAUGCUAUCUAGACUGAAGCUCUCCCAAGGCAACGCUUAGUGCAGAGCCCUGCAGAGAAGUUUCUUUUAAAAAAGCAAAAUUGUGGAAUAAGUGAAGUAUGUCAGUGACUUUUCACUUCCUUUUUUCAUUAUACUUUCGACCUGCUUCUGAAACCACCAUGACUUCAGAGACCAGGGCCCUCUGAUGGCCCCUGAAAGCGCAGGGUUCCCAGCCAGACUUGACUGUCCUGUGCUUUGGACUUAUCCUUGGGUAGGUGUGCCCUGGAGUGUUUUCAUUACCUUUUAUGUAACAAUUCCCACAAAUUUCAAUAGGUUGUGAUUCAUUUCAUGCUUAAUCAAAUAUUACUUGUAUAUCUUUGUGAGAACUGGUAUAUGAUUUAAUUUACAAAAUCAGUAAAAGAAAGUCCUUGCUUAAACCAUACAUCCUGAGUUUUGCUUCUAAAAAUACCAGUGCUGUAUCUACAAACCCAGCUCCAGUAUAUCCACACUGAGGUGCCGAUGAUAGAUAAAAGCUUAAUAAAUAACCCUUUCCAGAAGAAUGGGUACUGCAACACACAUUGCCUUAACCCACAGACAUUGCCUCUCUUCCCUUUCUUGUUAUCUUGCUAAUCAGUUGUGGGAGCCUUUUCUACCUUAAUAUCAUUUCAACACAGUGAUUCAGACUUCUGUUGGUCGACUGGUAUUGACCUGUGAUACAGAAUCUGCUUACCAUCCAAUUUAAAGGAAUGGAACUCCAGAGGUAGGAUUGAAGGCAGCAACAAGGAACCAGACUCAUAGCCCAGCCCAGCCCAGAUGACAGUCUGCAGGGAUACGAGUUCUACUUCCCACUGUUAACAAGGCGCUCAACCCUGGGCAAGUCACUUGACUCCUUCUCGUCUAUAACAUGAGGUAGUUGGGAUUCAUGGUCUCUUAGGUUUUCUUCCAGCUCCUGGAUCUCCAGCUAGGAAAAUACAGGGAUAAAGUCAUAAGGCUAACCCAUCUUCAGAAAGUCAGCAAAACAUCUAUAUAUAACACUGUAAAAUUAAUCUCUACUAAAUAAGAAUUUGUAUACACUUUGGCUCAGCAAUUUCACUCUUGGGGCUUUAUCCAAAGGAAGCAAUCAGAGAUGUGCUUCAAUAAGCAAGGAUGACUGUCACAGUGUUUAUUUUUAAUAAACUUUUAAUUUUAGCAUGGUUUUAGAUACACAGAGAAGUUGCAAAGAUAGUACGGAGAGUUCUUCUGUACUCCAUCCAUCCUUCCUCCUCAUUUCCUUCAUUGUUAACAACUGCUAUUCGUAUAUUACAUUCAUCACAACUAAUGAACCACUAUUGAUUUCAUUUUAUUAACUAAAAUCCAUACUGUAUUCAUAUUUCCUUAAUUUUAAGCUACUUUAAUUUUUUUUUAUGUUUAUUUAUUUUUGAGAGAGAAAGACAGAGUGUGAGCAGGGAAAGGGCAGAGAGAGAAGGAGACACAGAAUCUGAAGGAGGCUCCAGGCUCUGAGCUGUCAGCACAGAGCCCAAUGAGGGUUCAAACUCAUGGACUACGAGAUCAUGACCUGGGCCACAGUCAGACACUUACCCGACUAAGCCACCCAGGGGGCUCAGAAAUAUUCCUUUGCUUUGAAUGUCCUCCAUCUGGAAGAGGUUAGCUAAUUAAACCAAAGAUCACGGAUGAGUUGGCCCCAUUUAUCUCCAAUGGAUGAAAUCCUUUUCUCUCCAGAGAUUCUUCAGACAAAUAUCAAGGCAGUCCCUUGCUUCACCCAGUGGGCCUUCCGAUCUCUUCCUUAGCAAGGCAAUGUGGUGCUGAGCACCAGAAAAUUCCCGGGGAGAGCCUCUGCCAAAAUGCAAAACCAAGGAAAAAGGAUAAAAGCAACAGUUUUGGACCAGGCUGGCAGAAAUGGUAAACCCAAUCUGCCAUAUUUGCUUUUUCUUAAUCUAAAAUAACAGAGAUAACAUACACAAUGGACUUUCUAACUUGCCACUUUUCCCUUAUCUUUUUUCCCUUUGUGAGCCUAAGACAUCGUGUUCUUUCAUAUAACCUCUCUCUCUCAAAAAAAAAAAAAAAAAAACCAACAACAACAAAAACAAAAAAACCCUUGGCCAUUCCAUUCCCUGCCGCCCAUGGAGAAGAACAGACUCUAUCUGAUAUUUCAGCUGGAAGGCAGGGUGGCAGAUUCUUUCCAAUGGGGUGGCGACUUCCUCCCUACUCUCAGAACACACCCCUUCCCAAAAAUACGCCCUCCUGGGCAAGCAGCACAAAAGGAAUGUCAGCAAAUGCCCACAUCCCUUCCUUUUCCUUUUACACCCAGUGGCCUGGGAAUGGCGGGCACGCUUGGGGAAUGCACACCACCAAUCGGUGUGCGGCCCCAUGGGGCCUGUAAAGCGGCCUUGCUCUCAUCUCUUGCCCUCUUGGGCCGUCUUCCAAACCAACUGCCAGAUGGGAUUGUCCUAAAACGCAAAUCUGAUCAUUUCAUUUCAUCUACUUAAGAACUUGCUGUGGCCUUUUGGCCCACAAUGAGGGUUCCCAAACUCCUGCCUGAGGUCUAUGCCAGCUAUAUAAGAAUCAUUGUAUUCAGAUGUAGUUUCUAGAGUUUAGGUUAGAACCUGGGGAUCUGCCUAUGUUAGCCUGAAUUCUUUAGGUUGGUAAGUGACAGUAACUCGUCUCAAACUAGCUUAGGUCAAAAAAGGAAUCUAUUAUUUCCUCUGACAAGGAAGUUUAGGGGGUAAAAUGAUCUCAAUUAUAUCUGUGAGAUUUUAAUUUAUGGAGGUGACUAAAUGAUGAUGUGGAGACGUCAAUACCAUUGAAAGACUA